CAGCAGCCGCGGUAACACGAAGGGUGCAAGCGUUAAUCGGAAUUACUGGGCGUAAAGCGUGCGUAGGCGGUGAGUUAAGUCUGCUGUGAAAUCCCCGGGCUCAACCUGGGAACUGCAUCUGUGACUGCAUCGCUGGAGUGCGGCAGAGGGGGAUGGAAUUCCGCGUGUAGCAGUGAAAUGCGUAGAUAUGCGGAGGAACACCGAUGGCGAAGGCAAUCCCCUGGGCCUGCACUGACGCUCAUGCACGAAAGCGUGGGGAGCAAACAGGAUUAGAUACCCCCGUAGUCCCUGUCUCUUAUAC
rnacentral:rRNA from 1 species